UUCAUUCCAGAAACAAGUAUUUUUUUCCGUGCAUUUUUCCCAGGGAAAAAGAGUGAAAAAACAUGCUGCAAGGACAAGACGUGAGAUAAUUAUUUUUUUCCUUCGGCAAGAAGCAUGCCGUGAUUUUUUGGCAUGUUUUUUCUACAUGAGAAAAAUUAAAAACACAUGCUUUUCUCAUUUGCAUUUGGAAACAAAUUUUUUUUUUCAAAGCCCAACAGCU
rnacentral:lncRNA from 1 species